UACGAAGGGGGCUAGCGUUGCUCGGAAUCGCUGGGCGUAAAGCGCACGUAGGCGGCUUGCUAAGUCAGGGGUGAAAUCCUGGAGCUCAACUCCAGAACUGCCUUUGAUACUGGCGACCUUGAGUCCGGGAGAGGUGAGUGGAACUGCGAGUGUAGAGGUGAAAUUCGUAGAUAUUCGCAAGAACACCAGUGGCGAAGGCGGCUCACUGGCCCGGUACUGACGCUGAGGUGCGAAAGCGUGGGGAGCAAACAGG
rnacentral:rRNA from 1 species